GAUGAACGCUGGCGGCGUGCCUAAUACAUGCAAGUCGAGCGAACGGACGAGAAGCUUGCUUCUCUGAUGUUAGCGGCGGACGGGUGAGUAACACGUGGAUAACCUACCUAUAAGACUGGGAUAACUUCGGGAAACCGGAGCUAAUACCGGCUAAUAUUUUGAACCGCAUGGUUCAAAAGUGAAAGACGGUCUUGCUGUCACUUAUAGAUGGAUCCGCGCUGCAUUAGCUAGUUGGUAAGGUAACGGCUUACCAAGGCAACGAUGCAUAGCCGACCUGAGAGGAUGAUCAGCCACACUGGAACUGAGACACGGUCCAGACUCCUACGGGAGGCAGCAGUAGGGAAUCUUCCGCAAUGGGCGAAAGCCUGACGGAGCAACGCCGCGUGAGUGAUGAAGGUCUUCGGAUCGUAAAACUCUGUUAUUAGGGAAGAAAAGAUGUGUAAGUAACUGUGCACAUCUUGACGGUACCUAAUCAGAAAGCCACGGCUAACUACGUG
rnacentral:rRNA from 1 species